rnacentral:rRNA from 1 species
UACAGAGGGGGCAAGCGUUAUUCGGAAUUAUUGGGCGUAAAGAGCUCGUAGGCGGUUUCGUAAGUCGGAUGUGAAAACUCCAGCUCAACUUGGAGACGCCAUUCGAUACUGCGAUGACUUGAGUCCGGUAGGGGAGUGUGGAAUUCCGGGUGUAGUGGUGAAAUGCGUAGAUAUCCGGAGGAACACCAGUGGCGAAGGCGGCCGCCUGGACCUGACC